AUUGAACGCUGGCGGAAUGCUUUACACAUGCAAGUCGAACGGCAGCACGGACUUCGGUCUGGUGGCGAGUGGCGAACGGGUGAGUAAUGUAUCGGAACGUGCCCAGUCGUGGGGGAUAACGUAGUGAAAAUUACGCUAAUACCGCAUACGAUCUAUGGAUGAAAGCGGGGGAUCGCAAGACCUCGCGCGAUUAGAGCGGCCGAUAUCAGAUUAGGUAGUUGGUGGGGUAAAGGCCCACCAAGCCAACGAUCUGUAGCUGGUCUGAGAGGACGACCAGCCACACUGGAACUGAGACACGGUCCAGACUCCUACGGGAGGCAGCAGUGGGGAAUUUUGGACAAUGGGCGAAAGCCUGAUCCAGCCAUUUCGCGUGCAGGAUGAAGGCCCUCGGGUUGUAAACUGCUUUUGUACAGAACGAAAAGGUUUCUACUAAUACUAGGAGCUCAUGACGGUACUGUAAGAAUAAGCACCGGCUAACUACGUGCCAGCCGCCGCAGUAA
rnacentral:rRNA from 1 species